rnacentral:rRNA from 1 species
GAUGAACGCUGGCGGCGUGCUUAACACAUGCAAGUCGAACGGUGAAGGCGGAGCUUGCUCUGCUGGAUCAGUGGCGAACGGGUGAGUAACACGUGAGCAAUCUGCCCCUGACUCUGGGAUAAGCGCUGGAAACGGCGUCUAAUACUGGAUACGAGCUGCGAAGGCAUCUUCAGCAGCUGGAAAGAAUUUCGGUCAGGGAUGAGCUCGCGGCCUAUCAGCUUGUUGGUGGGGUAAUGGCUCACCAAGGCGUCGACGGGUAGCCGGCCUGAGAGGGUGACCGGCCACACUGGGACUGAGACACGGCCCAGCAUCCUACGGGAGGCAGCAGUGGGGAAUAUUGCACAAUGGGCGAAAGCCUGAUGCAGCAACGCCGCGUGAGGGACGACGGCCUUCGGGUUGUAAACCUCUUUUAGCAGGGAAGAAGCGAAAGUGACGGUACCUGCAGAAAAAGCGCCGGCUAACUACGUG